AAGGUUUGUAAAGAAAAAGUUUGAGGAGUCAUAUUUCCAAUGCACUGCACCAGAUCGUGUGGACCGUGUGUUUAAGAUCUAUAGAACCACAGCCCUUGAUCAGAAGCUUGUAAAGAAGACAUUCAAACUGGUAGACGAGACCCUGAGAAGGAGAAAUCUCUUCGAAGCAGGUUUAUUAUGAAAUUCUUUAAAUUUUCAAAAGAAAAAAACAGAAAUGUUCAUACUGUGAAAGAUGCAUACAAGUUUUGAACAGUGAGGUUCAAAUACAGAAAAAACAGGCUAUGGUGGUGGGGGUAUCAUAUCAGAUUCAACAAUUUAAGUUUUGUCCAUGUUAGGUCACUAAGCACAUAUUUCUUUCUUUAUCCCGGUAUUGUUAUGCUCUACUUACAAAACAGAUGGUUCAGAACAAAAACUGAUAUUCAAGUAUAUUCUAUUGAUGUUCAUUUUGUUGAAUGUUGUAACAUUCUCACAGCGCAAAG
rnacentral:misc_RNA from 1 species